UUGAAUCCAACUUGAAACUGCUUCGUCUCGAUAGUUUGAGUUUUUUUGCACCGCACACUCUGAUCGGUUGAGUUUAAAUGCGGGCAAUGCAUGCAAUGCAUUGUAUCCAACGAUGCAGACGAUGAUGUGAAGCGUAAAUGUUUUACGGAGCCAAUUAUAUCUAGAAUCUUACUUGCGGGUAAAUUGGAUGUAGGCGAAAAGGGGUGGGUCUAGACUGGCGCAUCGAUGGAUUUCAGGAAAAUGUAUAUGGAGGACAUGUAGGGAAGGUCAAGGCUCGCCAAGACAUCACGAACAGGAACAGCCGGCUGUCUACCCUCGGCCUGCAGGCACAGAUACCGCCUUCCCCGAGCCCAAUACGACGGAGAUGCGCGUCAAAUCCAUAGUGAUUGAGCAUGAGCCGAGACAUCAUGCAAAUGAAGUCUCGACCUACAUUCGAAGUAACACACGUUGGUAUAGAAUAGUUAACGUUACCUA